UACGUAGGGUGCAAGCGUUGUCCGGAAUUAUUGGGCGUAAAGGAGCUCGUAGGCGGUCGUGUCGCGUCUGCUAGUGAAAACUCGGGGCUUAACCCCGGCCUGCAGUUGGGUACGGGCUAGACUAGAGUGCGGUAGGGGAGACUGGAAUUCCUGGUGUAGCGGUGAAAUGACGCAGAUAUCAGGAGGAACACCGGUGGCGAAGGCGGCAUCCUGGACCAUUACUGACGCUGAGGCGCGAAAGCUAGGGGAGCAAACGGG
rnacentral:rRNA from 1 species